ACAAUGGGCGCAAGCCUGAUCCAGCCAUACCGCGUGUGUGAAGAAGCCCUAGGUUGUAAAGCACUUUAAGUUGGGAAGAAAAGUUAUUGGCUAAUACCCAAUGACCGUGACAUUACCUUCAGAAUAAGGACCGGCUAAUUCCGUGCCAGCAGCCGCGG
rnacentral:rRNA from 1 species